UUCGUCUCCUUAGAAGCGCUCCUUUCUUCAGAGCUGCGUUCAGGAAGCCGACGCUUCGCCUUUUGUGCCGCGUCGACAACUCGCGAGGCGACUCGCUGAAGGACGACGCUGAGAAGCAGAAAGCAGCAGAUGAGAAGACGUGAAUAGUUUGGUGCAGAGAUUGCUGUUCCCCAGAGGAUGAACCCCACUGACUUUGCCCCGUUGUUUACAGCCUCCACGCUCUUCCAUCAGAAACAGGACUCACGUGGUCUAAAAGCACAGCAAAGUUAAUCCACCUGUGAACCUUUAGAUAUAAACUGGUGGCCACGGGGUUCCAGUGCGGCCCCUGAUCAGGACCCUGGAGAGCGGGACGUCCAGGUUUCUAUCUGCUCUAAUCGUAUCCCAGCA
ensembl:lncRNA